CUGGGUGUAGCUCAGUCAGGUCAGAGUACCGCACUUGGAAUGCGGGGGCCGCCGGUUCAAAUCCGGCCACCCAGACCA
rnacentral:tRNA from 1 species